GACGAACGCUGGCGGCGUGCCUAAUACAUGCAAGUAGAACGCUGAAGCGAGGAGCUUGCUCUUCUUGGGUGAGUUGCGCACGGGUGAGUAACGCGUAGGUAACCUGCUUUGUAGCGGGGGAUAACUAUUGGAAACGAUAGCUAAUACCGCAUAACAUUGGACGACACAUGUCAUUUAUUUGAAAGGGGCAAUUGCUGCACUAAAUGAUGGCUCUUCGUUGUAUUAGCUAGUAGGUGAGGUACAGGCUCACCUAGGCGACGUUACGUAGCCGAACUGAGAGGAUGAGCAGCCGCACUGGGACGGUGACAGGGCCCAUACGCCUUCAGGUAGGAGCAAGAGGGAAACUGCAGGAAGAGGUGGAAACCAUAGCGAACUACGCCGCGGGAGGGAAGAAGGUUGUCGGGUCGGAAAGCUCGGUUGUAAGGCAAGAACGGGCGUGAGAGUGUAACGUUCACACUGUGACGGUAACUGAUCAGAAAGCGACGGCUAACUACGUG
rnacentral:rRNA from 1 species